rnacentral:rRNA from 1 species
ACGAACGCUGGCGGCGUGCCUCAUACAUGCCAGUCGAACGCUUCUUUCCUCCCGAGUGCUUGCACUCAAUUGGAAAGAGGAGUGGCGGACGGGUGAGUAACACGUGGGUAACCUACCCAUCAGAGGGGGAUAACACUUGGAAACAGGUGCUAAUACCGCAUAACAGUUUAUGCCGCAUGGCAUAAGAGUGAAAGGCGCUUUCGGGUGUCGCUGAUGGAUGGACCCGCGGUGCAUUAGCUAGUUGGUGAGGUAACGGCUCACCAAGGCCACGAUGCAUAGCCGACCUGAGAGGGUGAUCGGCCACACUGGGACUGAGACACGGCCCAGACUCCUACGGGAGGCAGCAGUAGGGAAUCUUCGGCAAUGGACGAAAGUCUGACCGAGCAACGCCGCGUGAGUGAAGAAGGUUUUCGGAUCGUAAAACUCUGUUGUUAGAGAAGAACAAGGACGUUAGUAACUGAACGUCCCCUGACGGUAUCUAACCAGAAAGACACGGCUAACUACGUG